CGAUAGAACUGUGCUGCUAGAGUAAUUUGCCAUAUAUGGUCCAUUACAGUGGACAGGAGGACUGGCUUGUCACAGAGGGAGAGAGAGAGAGAGAGAGACCACUGCAUUUCAUCACAAUCCAGGAACGCGUCAUGAGCCAUUGUCAGGUUUCACACCAGCCUUUAAAAGGGGCAGCACUGCCAGCUCCAGGCCUUAAGCUCUGACAAGGCCAUCGUCUCAAGAACAGGUGGUGCUCCAGCUGCACAGAGCUUGAAGAGAAAAGCACCAUCUCCUAUGGCCAGAUUCAGACGCAGCCGGAGCCGGAGCCUCAGUCGCCGCCGUCGUAGGAGGCGACAUGGAGGAAAGGGUGGGAAAAAGAAGGGAAGGCGCCACCGUGGCAGAAAGGGAAAAGGUCGCAAGCAUGGACACAGGAGAAGAGGGAGGAGAGGAAAGAAAGAUUAAAGGCUCCCCUCAUCCCCAGCUUUGUCGGCCUCUAGAGCAUCUGCCAAACAGAAAAACGAAAGAAACUUUCUCCACAGAACAUCCAGGAUGACUUCCCCCAGAAUCAAGGAGGCUCAGACCAUUUGAACGGUGCCACCUGUCAAUAAAAACCUUGACAUUU